rfam:Veillonellaceae bacterium DNF00626 genomic scaffold Scaffold48, whole genome shotgun sequence.
CACAUGGAGGAAAUGCCAUGUCUAUGAAUAAUUUCAUAGGGUCGAAUUGAUGAUUAUUUCCCUGAUUAUCAAUUUGGUUGCAGGUAGUUCAUACUCCUCAAU